GACGAACGCUGGCGGCGUGCUUAAUACAUGCAAGUCAACUGAACUUUAGGUAGCAAUAUUUAAAGGGAGGUGGCGCACGGUGAGUAACACGUAGGUAAUCUGCCUUCAGGACUGGCAUAAUUCCGCGAAAGCGGGACUAAAAUCAGAUGAUGCAGCGGCUCGACAUCGAGACAGUUGUUAAACCUUCGGGGCCUGAAGAUGAGCCUGCGUCUGAUUAGGUAGUUGGCGGGGUAAAAGCCCACCAAGCCUGCGAUCAGUAGCUGGUCUGAGAGGAUGAUCAGCCACACUGGAACUGAGACACGGUCCAGACUCCUACUGGAGGCAGCAGUAAGGAAUAUUGCUCAAUGGCCGAAAGGCUGAAGCAGCAACGCCGCGUGGAGGAUGAAAUACUUUAGUAUGUAAACUCCUGUAAGAGGGGAAAAAUAUACAGCUAUGCUGUGUUGAUUGUACCCUCAGAGUAAGCACCGGCUAACUACGUGCCAG
rnacentral:rRNA from 1 species